rnacentral:snRNA from 1 species
AUACCUUCUCAGCCUUUUGACUAAAAUCAAGUGUAGUAUCUGCUCUAAUCAGUGUGAAAACUGGUUCCCGACUUUUAGUUGGGUCUUUUCACAUUCAUUUUUGGACAUUCCUUGCUUCCCUAGCUUGCUAGGUUUUAGUGGGACGGUUUCCGGGGCUUUCACCACUUCCUCCGCGAGGCCAAUUACG